GAUGAAGAACGUAGCGAAAUGCGAUAAGUAAUGUGAAUUGCAGAAUUCAGUGAAUCAUCGAAUCUUUGAACGCACAAUGCGCCCCUUGGUAUUCCGAGGGGCAUGCCUGUUCGAGCGUCAUUAUAACCCCUCAAGCUCGGCUUGGUGUUGGGGCCUGCCGCACGGGCAGCCCUUAAAAUCAGUGGCGGUGCCAUCUGGCUCUAAGCGUAGUAAUUCUUCUCGCUAUAGAGUCCCGGUGGAUGCUUGCCAUUAACCCCCAAUUUCAAUGGUUGACCUCGGAUCAGGUAGGGAUACCCGCUGAACUUAAGCAUAUCAAUAAGCGGAGGA
rnacentral:misc_RNA from 1 species